GACGAACGCUGGCGGCGUGCUUAACACAUGCAAGUCGAACGGUAAGGCCCUUCGGGGUACACGAGUGGCGAACGGGUGAGUAACACGUGGGUGAUCUGCCCUGCACUUCGGGAUAAGCCUGGGAAACUGGGUCUAAUACCGGAUAGGACUCCGGACUGCAUGGUCUGGGGUGGAAAGCUUUUGCGGUGUGGGAUGGGGCCGCGGCAUAUCAGCUUGUUGGGGGGGUGAUGGCCUACCAAGGCGACGACGGGUAGCCGGCCUGGGAGGGUGACCGGCCACACUGGGACUGGGAUGCGGCCCAGAGUCAUACGGGAGGCAGCGGUGGGGGAUUUUGGACAAUGGGCGCAAGGCUGAUGCAGCGACGCCGCGUGAGGGAUGACGGCCGUCGGGUUGUAAACCUCUUUCAGCAUCGACGAAGCGAAAGUGACGGUAGGUGCAGAAGAAGGACCGGCCAACUACGUGCCAGCCGCCGCCGUAA
rnacentral:rRNA from 1 species